rnacentral:rRNA from 1 species
UGGUGGGUAGUUUGACUGGGGCGGUCUCCUCCCAAAGCGUAACGGAGGAGCACGAAGGUUAGCUAAUCCUGGUCGGACAUCAGGAGGUUAGUGCAAUGGCAUAAGCUAGCUUGACUGCGAGCGUGACGGCGCGAGCAGGUGCGAAAGCAGGUCAUAGUGAUCCGGUGGUUCUGAAUGGAAGGGCCAUCGCUCAACGGAUAAAAGGUACUCCGGGGAUAACAGGCUGAUACCGCCCAAGAGUUCAUAUCGACGGCGGUGUUUGGCACCUCGAUGUCGGCUCAUCACAUCCUGGGGCUGAAGUAGGUCCCAAGGGUAUGGCUGUUCGCCAUUUAAAGUGGUACGCGAGCUGGGUUUAGAACGUCGUGAGACAGUUCGGUCCCUAUCUGCCGUGGGCGCUGGAGAAUUGAGGGGGGCUGCUCCUAGUACGAGAGGACCGGAGUGGACGCAUCACUGGUGUUCGGGUUGUCAUGCCAAUGGCACUGCCCGGUAGCUAAAUGCGGAAGAGAUAAGUGCUGAAAGCAUCUAAGCACGAAACUUGCCCCGAGAUGAGUUCUCCCUGAGACUUUAAGUCUCCUGAAGGAACGUUAAAGACGAUGACGUUGAUAGGCCGGGUGUGUAAGCGCA